rnacentral:rRNA from 1 species
GACGAACGCUGGCGGCGUGCCUAACACAUGCAAGUCGAGCGAAUGAAGUUCCUUCGGGAACGGAUUUAGCGGCGGACGGGUGAGUAACACGUGGGCAACCUGCCUCAUAGAGGGGAAUAGCCUUCCGAAAGGGAGAUUAAUACCGCAUAAGAUUGUAGUACCGCAUGGUACAGCAAUUAAAGGAGCAAUCCGCUAUGAGAUGGGCCCGCGGCGCAUUAGCUAGUUGGUGAGGUAACGGCUCACCAAGGCGACGAUGCGUAGCCGACCUGAGAGGAUGAUCGGCCAGAAGGGGAAUAAGGCAAGGCGAAGACAACUACGGAAGGAAGCAGCGGGGAAUAUUGGGCGAUAGGUGAAACCGUGAUGGUUCUACGCGGCGGGAGGGCGAUCCGACAUCGGGUUGUAAAGCUAUCUCAUGAGGGCCGGUAUGGGGGGUACUUGAGGGGCAGUCGACAGAGAACUAAGUG